CAGUAGCCGCGGUAAAACGGAGGGUGCAAGCGUUAAUCGGAAUUACUGGGCGUAAAGCGCACGCAGGCGGUUUGUUAAGUCAGAUGUGGAAUCCCCGGGCUCAACCUGGGAAUGGCAAUGGAUACUGGCAAGCUAGAGUGUGUCAGAGGAUGGUGGAAUUCCCGGUGUAGCGGUGAAAUGCGUAGAGAUCGGGAAGAACACCGGUGGCGAAGGCGGCAACCUGGCUCAUUACUGACGCUGAGGCGCGAAAGCGUGGGGAGCAAACAGGAUUAGAGACCCGCGUAGUCCCUGUCUCUUAUAC
rnacentral:rRNA from 1 species